rnacentral:rRNA from 1 species
AUUGAACGCUGGCGGCAUGCCUUACACAUGCAAGUCGAACGGCAGCACGGGAGCAAUCCUGGUGGCGAGUGGCGAACGGGUGAGUAAUAUAUCGGAACGUGCCCGGUCGUGGGGGAUAACGUAGCGAAAGUUACGCUAAUACCGCAUACGAUCUACGGAUGAAAGCGGGGGACUCGCAAGAGCCUCGCGCGAUUGGAGCGGCCGAUAUCAGAUUAGGUAGUUGGUGAGGUAAAGGCUCACCAAGCCGACGAUCUGUAGCUGGUCUGAGAGGACGACCAGCCACACUGGGACUGAGACACGGCCCAGACUCCUACGGGAGGCAGCAGUGGGGAAUUUUGGACAAUGGGCGCAAGCCUGAUCCAGCAAUGCCGCGUGCAGGAUGAAGGCCUCGG